rnacentral:lncRNA from 1 species
AUCAGAUCUUACAGCACAGUUGCUUAACUUUAGAUGUUCUUGUCUUCUGCUCUGUUAAUUGAACGUUAAUCACACACAGGAGGCUGUUGUUGUCUAUAGUACGAUAUUAAGGGGAUACUAUAGGCACAUAGACCAUGAAAUUUCAAUGCGUUGUUUUGAGUGUCAUGUUUGCACCACCCUGUUUUAAUCCCGCAAGUAAAAACAUUGCCGUUCAGCAGAAUGCCUCUAGUGGCUGUCACCCAGACACUACUUUGCGCACUAGUCUCACAAUAUUUUCUUAAGGUAAAACACUGGAUUGGCUGAGAUAACCCACCAAGGAGAUGGAACGGCAGCGAGGAGACCAGCACUGCCAAGGAGAAAAGGAUAAGUCCAAUUGCUUUUUUUAAAUCCCUAUAGGUGGAUGUCAAUAACCUAACCGGCCAGCAAGGUACUAUAGCAUUAGAAAUACACAUUUGUAUUCCUUACGUUACAGUGUUCCUUUAGCAAAGCAGAAAAUGAGAAACAAACAUUUCAGGAAGUGUGUAGGGAGGCUGUGUGAGUCUCAGCCAUGUGAGAUGUGUCUAGGGCUGAAUAAACAAAGUGAUUUAAGUACUAAAUGGAAGAGAAUUGAACAGUGAGAUUGCAGGGGCAUGAACUAUACACCAACACCACUUUAUGAUGUUAAAGUUGUUUUGGUCCUUCAAGUUGUGGUGACAUUCUGUCAUCAAACUAAUAUGGUGACCAGGGGUCAUGUGACCAAGCUUACAGUGGGAUAAGCUUUACCCUUUUGAAAUGGUAAUUGGGUAAUUCAAUACCUUUACAAGUCAGGAGAGAGAUAACCACUUCCCCCUUUCUCCAUUCCUCUCUGUUCCUUCUUGGCUGUGCUGCAGAGCAGAUGUGCAGACGCCAUGUGCUAGCAUGGUGAACCAUGUUACUCUCUGUUGCUUCCUUUUCUUCCUUGGUGGAUGUGAUGUUGAACUUGCAGCAGUGAGUCAUUACUAGAUAUGAAGGCCUAACCGUGGGUGAGAUCAAGUGUGUGUGGAAGGGGUUACUAUAUAGAUAGAUGGAUUUAAAAAGGGUUGUUGCUCCGUGGGUCUCGGCUGUGUAUUUGUGAUACAUUUAUAGUAUUGUGUUGUUGCCUUUUAAUAAAUACCUUUUAAUGUAGACGAACCUUGUGUAAUAUAUAUAUUAAUUUGGUGAUACACCACAUUUGGCGACCACGGAUUUUAGACUUCUACAAAGGUUAUUUAUGAGGUAAUAACACAUUAAUAGAUAGUCAGGUCCCUUUAAACAAUAUGAUUUCUUAUUCAGACAGCGGAAAGUGAUAACAAGUACUACAACAGUGAAGAAUAGUAAAAAUUGUGAUGGCGUAUCAACGUAAUUUAGACCAUUCCACUCUCUAAACAGUGCAGGUUUUAUUAUUGAUUUUAUUCUCCCCUCAGGACAGAAAUGUCUCAUUGUUUAGUUCUCAACCAGUUUCCUCAACUAGUCCAUGCAUCUACAACUAUUUCUGCAAAAAAAAUAGAAUUUACCAAUUAAUAUUCACUCUCUUCAACAUAUUCCUUUCUUUUUAAUGAACAGCACCAACAUUUCUAGCCGAAAUUAUGAACUUAAGUGUAUUAUUUGUUUACCAAAAUAAUGAUAUAACUGGAAGGUAAAUCAUAAUAGGGAUGAUUGUUGGAUAUACCAUCGAUAAAGAUUUUGAAGAGGAAGGAAAAUACCUGUACAUCACAUACCUUGAAAAUUGCAGAAUGAAACAAUUUCUUAAAACGUGUCUGUAACUAUCACUGUAUUACAUAAAAGCUAUGGAUACAAUCUGCUAAAUAGCAUAUGUGCAACAUAACCUGUUUUUUAUUUGUAUCCAUUCACAAGCAUGUCUAUACUCCCUAAAUUUAGUUAUGUUUUAUGUAAGCUUGUUUGAGCAGGGUCUUCUUCACUUGGCUUCUGUUAUCCCAUUUUUAUAAUUGUAAAGCACUACGGUGUAUGUUGGCGCUAUACAAAUGCUAAUAAUAAUAAUGCAUUGGACAUGCACAAACUGUGCGCCCUUCUAUAGUUCCAAAGAUGCCGAGAUAUCUCCAUAUUUUAUUUUGCUGAAUAUUCAAAAUUAACAAAUUAGAAAAUGUGUUCAGUUUGCUUAUAAAAGAAAUACUUAAAAGAUGUGCUUUAAGCAAUGGCUUUUUUAUGGCCGCAUUCUAAGAAAUGUUUAGUUUCCAGACAGAGCAGUCUUGC